GCGGAUCCGCGGAUCCCUCCGCCCUUCUAGUCACGGAACCGGGCCGAACCAGCCCGUAAACCGUUGACACCUACAAAGUGAGACAUGAGAACGCAAAAGGCACAGAACUACAUCUCUGGAAACAAUAAUGCAGCUAUUACUGCCAUCCAUCCCUUUGGUUUAGAAGACAGGAGUCCUCCAGCUGCAGCUGACAAGCAGCAUUGAAACUCGGAGUGGCAAAUGUUUGCAAAGCAGUAUUUCUCUGUGUAAGUUUAGUGGGCAUCAAAAGCUUUGGUCUGACACCUUCUGGAGACCUGAGCCUCUCUACAGUAUGUGUCGCACUGGCCAAUGGAUUACAAAUUUUAGGAGGACACAGGAAGAAGAGAAAGAUCACAUUGCCUCUGUUUCUUUAGGCAAAAAUUCAUGAGAACACUCUAUGAAGUCAUACAUUAGGUAUUAUUCCUUGAAAUAGUCACAGUUCCUCUCAUCAGUGAUAUUCCAGAGUUGGUCAUUCAGAGUGACAGGAAACUGCUUGAAGUUUGAAACUUGUCCUGACAGCCUGAGCAACGAUACCAGCCCAUGUCUGCCUAACAGCAAAGGUCUGAACUGACAGAGCCUGACCCCUACCACUACUGUGCUGCAGGAAGCUACAAGACAGCUGGAACAGUCUACAAGCAUAUAAAAGCCUCUCAGUACAAAUCAGAUGUUCUGUGCAAAAAAGCCCCACAUUUCGGCUCUGUGAAUGGAAACCUCUCUGCUUGUGUAUCUACUGUGUACAUACACUACAAAAGAUCUAUAGAAAUCACAGAAUAGAAACCUUUAAGUUAUGGCCAAAUACAUUUAAUAUUAAUAUUUGAUAUUUAACACAUGAAGCACAUUCAUUCAACAGUGUAUUUCCUAAUCCUACUGGCAUUUGUUGCUCAAGAGGGGUAGAAUUCCCAGAUUUUGCUGUAACCAGAUGAAACACCCGUACGCUUGCCUUUCUGCCACCAGCAUUCUUCUGCCUGCAUUGAUUUAUCAAACAAUGCAAGCUGGUAGCAAUAUUCCACAUAUGUUCACUUUGUGUAAUCCUCAAAAAACAAAGGAGCUCAGAUGUGUGAACAAAGUGAAUGUAAUUCCUGCAUAAACCAUUUGCAGUAUUUUUUCUUUCUGAGUAGUAAGCAGAAAUGCUGGCUUUGCUUCCGGAUUUCUGGUUAUCUUCAGUAAGAUCAUAAUCAAUCUUAUUCUUUGUGUAAAUCUAAAGCAUGGUUUUGAAUAGAAAAAAAAAGCAACACAUAGAAAAAAAAAGCAUAGGAAAUAGCAAAAGCAGUAUUCCCUGCACAAGAAUAUAGAUUUACAGUGACAUAUAUUGUCUCAGCUUUUCUCUAAGACAACAAAAUCAUAUUCAAAGAUAACAGGGCAUAGAGUGAACCUAAAUCUCUAUACUGUGUAUGUCUCUAAGAACAAGAGGAACAACACAUUGCUCUGUUUUAAAAAAUCUGAAAUGCCAUAUGAAUAACUAAAAGAAAAUUAGUUCAAUUUCUGACACCACUAAUUUUAAAUAAAUAAAUCACAGCAUC